GACGAACGCUGGCGGCGUGCUUAACACAUGCAAGUCGAACGGAAAGGCCCUGCUUUUGUGGGGUGCUCGAGUGGCGAACGAGUGAGUAACACGUGAGUAACCUGCCCUUGACUUUGGGAUAACUUCAGGAAACUGGGGCUAAUACCGGAUAGGAGCUCCUGCUGCAUGGUGGGGGUUGGAAAGUUUCGGCGGUUGGGGAUGGACUCGCGGCUUAUCAGCUUGUUGGUGGGGUAGUGGCUUACCAAGGCUUUGACGGGUAGCCGGCCUGAGAGGGUGACCGGCCACAUUGGGACUGAGAUACGGCCCAGACUCCUACGGGAGGCAGCAGUGGGGAAUAUUGCACAAUGGGCGGAAGCCUGAUGCAGGAACGCCGCGUGCGGGAUGACGGCCUUCGGGUUGUAAACCGCUUUCGCCUGUGACGAAGCGUGAGUGACGGUAAUGGGUAAAGAAGCACCGGCUAACUACGUGCCGACAGCCGCGGGGAUACGUUAGGUGCGAGCGUUGUGCCGAUUUAUUGGGCGUAAAGGGCUCGUAGGUGGUUGAUCGCGUCGGAAGUGUAAUCUUGGGGCUUAACCCUGAGCGUGCUUUCGAUACGGGUUGACUUGAGGAAGGUAGGGGAGAAUGGAAUUCCUGGUGGAGCGGUGGAAUGCGCAGAUAUCAGGAGGAACACCAGUGGCGAAGGCGGUUCUCUGGGCCUUUCCUGACGCUGAGGAGCGAAAGCGUGGGGAGCGAACAGGCUUAGAUACCCUGGUAGUCCACGCUGUAAACGGUGGGUACUAGGUGUGGGGUCCAUUCCACGGGUUCCGUGCCGUAGCUAACGCUUUAAGUACCCCGCCUGGGGAGUACGGCCGCAAGGCUAAAACUCAAAGGAAUUGACGGGGCCCCGCACAAGCGGCGGAGCAUGCGGAUUAAUUCGAUGCAACGCGUAGAACCUUACCUGGGUUUGACAUGGAUCGGGAGUGCUCAGAGAUGGGUGUGCCUCUUUUGGGGUCGGUUCACAGGUGGUGCAUGCCUGUCGUCAGCUCGUGUCGUGAGAUGUUGGGUUAAGUACCGCAACGAGCGCAACCCUUGUUCACUGUUGCCAGCACGUUAUGGUGGGGACUCAGUGGAGACCGCCGGGGUCAACUCGGAGGAAGGUGGGGAUGACGUCAAGUCCUCAUGCCCCUUAUGUCCAGGGCUUCACGCAUGCUACAAUGGCUGGUACAGAGAGUGGCGAGCCUGUGAGGGUGAGCGAAUCUCGGAAAGCCGGUCUCAGUUCGGAUUGGGGUCUGCAACUCGACCUCAUGAAGUCGGAGUCGCUAGUAAUCGCAGAUCAGCAACGCUGCGGUGAAUACGUUCCCGGG
rnacentral:rRNA from 1 species